CUUUAUUGGAGAGUUUGAUCCUGGCUCAGGAUGAACGCUGGCGGCGUGCCUAAUACAUGCAAGUCGAGCGAAUGGAUUAAGAGCUUACUCUUAUGAAGUUAGCGGCGGACGGGUGAGUAACACGUGGGUAACCUGCCCAUAAGACUGGGAUAACUCCGGGAAACCG
rnacentral:rRNA from 1 species